rnacentral:rRNA from 1 species
CCUACGGGUGGCAGCAGUGGGGAAUAUUGGACAAUGGGCGAAAGCCUGAUCCAGCCAUGCCGCGUGUGUGAAGAAGGCCUUCGGGUUGUAAAGCACUUUCAGUGGGGAAGAAAGCCUUGGGGCUAAUACCCUCGAGGAAGGACAUCACCCACAGAAGAAGCACCGGCUAACUCCGUGCCAGCAGCCGCGGUAAUACGGAGGGUGCGAGCGUUAAUCGGAAUUACUGGGCGUAAAGCGCGCGUAGGCGGUCUGAUAAGCCGGUUGUGAAAGCCCCGGGCUCAACCUGGGAACGGCAUCCGGAACUGUCAGGCUAGAGUGCAGGAGAGGAAGGUAGAAUUCCCGGUGUAGCGGUGAAAUGCGUAGAGAUCGGGAGGAAUACCAGUGGCGAAGGCGGCCUUCUGGACUGACACUGACGCUGAGGUGCGAAAGCGUGGGAAGCAAACAGGAUUAGAUACCCUAGUAGUC